rnacentral:lncRNA from 1 species
UUACUUCGGAGCAGAGAAAACGAAAAAUAAAAAUGUCACAUUCUGAAUUUGAAUGAUUGCAAUGAUAUGAUAUAAAAAGAGAGGAUGUGGUUAGAGUGCCAAUGAGACAACUCUUAACAAGAGACUAAGAUGACACAGCAAUUGACAACUAUAUGCUACCGUAUGGCGUUCAACAAAAAACAACCAAUACAGACCAUACUGCUUAGACAGCUAUAAAAAAAACUCCCCGAAAUGAUAAAUUUUAAACAAUUCAAGCGAGAAAACUGCCGGAC